rnacentral:lncRNA from 1 species
UGACCUCAAAUUAAAUUAAACUCUGACUUAUUGUCAAAUCUUCAUAUUUCUACAUAAAUAUUUAGCAAUAUAGUCAAGAGAAUCGACACAUAGUCUCAAAUCAAGCUAUUUAGCCUCUUCAUGGAUCCUACGUAAAAUCUGAUUCAUAACAGGUGUUAUUUCCUCCAAUGAACUAAACUUGUAAUCUUUUUCUACCUGCACAUUCAAUGCCACAAUCAGUUUGUUAAAUUAAACUCAAAAGAAUUUAGCUUUACGAAAUAUUCAAAGUCAGGGCAGAAAACAAAUAUGUUAACCCUUCAGGUCAUAUGUGCCUAUUAUAAUAAAUAACAUAUCUUAUAUUCAAGAUUUUAGGCUUGCCUGUGAUUAGAUUGUGUAAGCAAUUAUUUAUCAUAAACAGUAUAUAAAACUUAAAAUCAUUCUUCUUCAAUUCCAAUAUGUGUGGCAUGAUUAGAAUUUCGAGAUUCCCAAUAUGUGUCGCAUGAUUAGAAUUUUGAGAUUCAACCCUUUAAACUUUGACUAUGAACUCAUCAUACUACGUAGAAAGUAUUAUAAAUCACAAUAAGUAACAAUUUAAAAUAUUUAAAAGAUAUAAACAAUUUCGAUUAAAAAAUAAACUUGAUUACUAUGUAGAAAGUACUACAAAUCACAGUAAGUAACAACUUAAAAUAUUUAGAAGACAAAGAAUUUCGAUUAAAAAAUAAAUUUAAUUGACUCUAAUAAUUCUAACUGUAUCACAUAAAGUUAGAUGGGGAGAAUAAUUGAUCUCACCUUCAAACGGAAAGAACAGAGGAUAAACUGGUCAACUUUUUAAAACAUCCAGAUGAAGAACACACAGCCUAAGGCUUGCAAGCCUUGAUUUUAUUCUUGGAGAUAUGUACAUACCCAUAAACCAAUCAAAAUCCUUGAUUUUAUUCUAGGAGAUACGUACCCAUCAACCAAUCAAAAGC